rnacentral:rRNA from 1 species
GACGAACGCUGGCGGCGUGCCUAAUACAUGCAAGUCGAACGCAGUGGGGACGGGUGAGUAACACGUGGUUAACCUCCCAUCAGAGGGGAUAACACUUGGAAACAGGUGCUAAACCGAUACUGAUGGAUGGACCCGCGGUGCAUUAGCUGGUGGGGGAGGUAACGGCUCACCAAGGCCACGAUCCGUAGCUGGUUGGAGAGAGUGACCAGCCACACUGGGACUGAGACACGGCCCAGACUCCUACGGGAGGCAGCAGUGGGGAAUUUUGGACAAUGGGGGAAACCCUGAUCCAGCCAUCCCGCGUGUAUGAUGAAGGCCUUCGGGUGGUAAAGUACUUUUGGCAGAGAAGCGGUAUCUGUGGAAUAAGCACCGGCUAACUACGUGCCAGCAGCCGCGGUAAUAC